rnacentral:rRNA from 1 species
GACGAACGCUGGCGGCGUGCUUAACACAUGCAAGUCGAACGGAAAGGCCCUGCUUUUGUGGGGUGCUCGAGUGGCGAACGGGUGAGUAACACGUGAGUAACCUGCCCUUGACUUUGGGAUAACUUCAGGAAACUGGGGCUCAUACCGGAUAGGAGCUCCUGCUGCAUGGUGGGGGUUGGAAAGUUUCGGCGGUUGGGGAUAGACUCGCGGCUUAUCGGCUUGUUGGUGGGGUAGUGGCUUACCAAGGCUUUGACGGGUAGCCGGCCUGGGAGGGUGACCGGCCACAAUGGGACUGAGAUACGGACCAGACGCGUACGGGAGGCAGCGGGGGGGAGUAUGGCACAGUGGGCGGAAGCCUGAGACGGCGAUGUCGCGUGCGGGAUGACGGCCUUCGGGUUGUAAACCGAUGUCGCCGUUGCCGAAGCGUGAGUGACGGUAAUGGGUAAAGAAGCACCGGCUAACUACGUG